rnacentral:rRNA from 1 species
GGGUGAGUAACGCGUGGGUAACCUGCCUUAUACAGCUGGAUAACAGUCAGAAAUGGCUGCUAAUACCGCAUAAGCGCACAGAGCUGCAUGGCUCAGUGUGAAAAACUCCGGUGGUAUAAGAUGGACCCGCGUUGGAUUAGCUUGUUGGUGGGGUAACGGCCCACCAAGGCGACGAUCCAUAGCCGGCCUGAGAGGGUGAACGGCCACAUUGGGACUGAGACACGGCCCAGACUCCUACGGGAGGCAGCAGUGGGGAAUAUUGCACAAUGGGGGAAACCCUGAUGCAGCGACGCCGCGUGAAGGAAGAAGUAUCUCGGUAUGUAAACUUCUAUCAGCAGGGAAGAUAGUGACGGUACCUGACUAAGAAGCCCCGGCUAACUACGUGCCAGCAGCCGCGGUAAUACGUAGGGGGCAAGCGUUAUCCGGAUUUACUGGGUGUAAAGGGAGCGUAGACGGUGUGGCAAGUCUGAUGUGAAAGGCAUGGGCUCAACCUGUGGACUGCAUUGGAAACUGUCAUACUUGAGUGCCGGAGGGGUAAGCGGAAUUCCUAGUGUGGCGGUGAAAUGCGUAGAUAUUAGGAGGAACACCAGUGGCGAAGGCGGCUUACUGGACGGUAACUGACGUUGAGGCUCGAAAG